GAUGAACGCUAGCGGCAGGCUUAAUACAUGCAAGUCGAGGGGCAUCAAGGUACACGAAAGUGUAUUGUUGGCGACCGGCGGACGGGUGAGUAAUAGGUAGGUAACCUACCUCAUACUGAGGCAUAGCUGGGAGAAAUUCCAGGUAAUUCCUCAUGAGGUUAUAUGACACAUGUGAUAUAAUCAAAGGUAUCGCAAGGUACUGGUAUGAGAUGGGCUUACUGACCAUUAGCUAGUUGGUGAGAUAAGAGCUCACCAAGGCGAAGAUGGUUAGGGGUUUUGAGAGAGAGAUCCCCCACAUUGGAACUGAGAUACGGUCCAGACUCCUACGGGAGGCAGCAGUAGGGAAUAGUUGGGCAAUGGGCGGAAGCCUGACCCAGCCAUGCCGCGUGAAGGAAGACGGCCUUAUGGGUUAGUAAACUUCUUUACUAUGCGACUAACUAGUAUUUACGAGAUAAUUCUAUAGAAUGUAGCAUAGACAAAAAGCACCGGUA
rnacentral:rRNA from 1 species